GACGAACGCUGGCGGCGUGCUUAACACAUGCAAGUCGAACGGAAAGGCCCUUCUUUUGUGGGUUGCUCGAGUGGCGAACGGGUGAGUAACACGUGAGUAACCUGCCCUUGACUUUGGGAUAACUUCAGGAAACUGGGGCUAAUACCGGAUAGGAUCUCCUGCUGCAUGGUGGGGGUUGGAAAGUUUCGGCGGUUGGGGAUGUACUCGCGGCUUAUCAGCUUGUUGGUGGGGUAGUGGCUUACCAAGGCUUUGACGGGUAGCCGGCCUGAGAGGGUGACCGGCAACAUUGGGACUGAGAUACGGCCCAGACUCCUACGGGAGGCAGCAGUGGGGAAUAUUGCACAAUGGGCGGAAGCCUGAUGCAGCAACGCCGCGUGCGGGAUGACGGCCUUCGGGUUGUAAACCGCUUUCGCCUGUGACGAAGCGUGAGUGACGGUAAUGGGUAAAGAAGCACCGGCUAACUACGUG
rnacentral:rRNA from 1 species